UCAUGAAUGUCUAAGCUGCUUUGGUUUUUGAUUGGACUUACUUCUGGAGGUCACAGAGGUUAGCAGACCUGAGGUUUGUUGAUGGACUUUCAUAUUUUAAUUUAAUUUGAGUUCAAGCAGUCCUCCUGCCUUGGCCUCUCAAAGUGCUAGGAUUACAGGCAUGAGCCACCAUGCCUGGCCCCAAGGGGAUUUAACUGGGAAUAGAAAGAAUUUGACUAGAACCCAGUAUUUUUAGCAGAGACAGGGUUUCACCAUGUUGGCCAGGCUUGUCUCAAACUCCUGACCUCAGGCUGAUCUGCCUGCCUCGGCCUCCCAAAGUGCCAGGAUUACAAGCGUGAGCCACCACACCAGGCCUGAAGUUUUCUUUUACCUAAAGUUUAUUUAACAUUUAUUGCAUUCUGGCUGGGUGCAGUGGCUCACGCCUGUAAUCCCAGCACUUUGGGAGGCCAAGGCGGGCAUCCUAGCCAACAUGGUGAAACCCCGUCUCUACUUAAAAAAAUACAAAAAUUAGCUGGGCGUGGUGGCGUGGUCCUGUAGGCCCAGCUACUCGGGAGGCUGAGGCAGGAGAAUCACUUGAACCAGGGAGGCGGAGAUGGCAGUGAGCCUAGAUCGUGCCACUGCACUCUAGCCUGGUGACAGAGCGAGACUCUGUCUCAAAACAACAACAAAACAUUUACUGCAUUCUAGAUUUUGUCUUGGAUAACCUUUUUCUCCUUUAAUCUCUCAGUUUUGUGGGUGAGUAAACUUUAAAUGAAACUCUAAAGUUUUCAUUGUAUUUGUAUUGUAAAAUAAGUCCACCUCUUUGUAGUUACUUAAUGUUUUACGUUUAAACUACAAAGUAUCUUAAUCUCUGACGUUUCUCAUUAAGCUGUUCUCUAGGUAACAUUUCUUUUGCCCUUUUAUUAUUAAUUAUAUAGUUUCCAUCCUUCACUAGGCCCUUAGUUUGUUAAUGUUACAUGAAGCAAAAUGGUCAACUUCAAAAUAUCUUAUUUGUUGCCUUCAGGUUGCAGCAGGAGACUUAAAGCACGUAAUUUCUACCCAUUAAUUGUAUGGUACAGGAUAAUAAAAAUUCCAGCAGGCAUAGAUAGAAAUUAGCCUGGCAUAGAUAAUUACUUUUUUUUUUUUUUUUUUUUUUUUUUUUUUGAGACAGAGUCUCACUCUGUUGCCCAGGCUGGAGUACAAUGGAGCGAUCUCGGCUCAGCACAACCUCCGCCUCCCGGGUUCAGGUGACUCUCCUGCCUCAGCCUCCCCGAGUAGCUGGGACUAUAGGCGCGUGCCACCAUGCCCGGCUAAUUUUUUGUAUUUUUAGUAGAGUCGGGGUUUCACUAUGUUGGCCAGGCUGGUCUCAAACUCCUGGGCUCAAGCUAUCCUCCUGCCUCUGCCUCCCUAAGAGCUGGGAUUACAGGUGUGAGCUACCGCACCCAGCCGAUAAUUACUUUUACAUUAGUCUUCAGCAGGGAAAGAUCCAGGAAUAUAUUUUAAGCAGUGGAGCAGUGUAGGGAUCUUAGACAACAUUCUAACCUCUUCAAAUUCAGAUUUUCCUGUAGUAUAUUCUCACUAGUUUGUUUGGAAAGAGUUUCCAGAACUAUGAUUUACUGUUAUGUGUAAUUAUUAAGAAAGGGUUGACCUUGUCAUUUAAGGAGUGAAAUAUCCCUUAUUUUCUUUCCUUUGUAUAUUAAUAUUUCAUAGAUAUUUAUUGUAUAUGACUUCAUUUUAUUUGUUGUUUAUUUCAUUUUAAAAAGACAAUUAAAUAGCAUGCUACUGAAAUUACCAGAUAAUUUCCAGGACUGUGCUUCAUUGCUCCCUUGUAUGUUAGCACCUUAAAUGUGAUAGUGCCAAUCCUUUGGGUAGUGUCUCAAUAUUCCAGUGAUGAGUAAUUUCCUAAUAACACCUUUUUGUUUUCAGAGUCUGUAAUUCUUCUAAGACUAUGUCAGUAGCUUUCCAAUAAAGG
rnacentral:lncRNA from 1 species